UGGGGAAUAUUGCACAAUGGGCGAAAGCCUGAUGCAGCAACGCCGCGUGAGUGAUGACGGUCUUCGGAUUGUAAAGCUCUGCCUUUGGGGACGAUAAUGACGGUACCCAAGGAGGAAGCCACGGCUAACUACGUGCCAGCAGCCGCGGUAAUACGUAGGUGGCGAGCGUUGUCCGGAUUUACUGGGCGUAAAGGGUGCGUAGGCGGACCUUUAAGUGAGAUGUGAAAUCCCCGAGCUUAACUUGGGGGCUGCAUUUCAAACUGGAGGUCUAGAGUGCAGGAGAGGAGAGUGGAAUUCCUAGUGUAGCGGUGAAAUGCGUAGAGAUUAGGAAGAACACCAGUGGCGAAGGCGACUCUCUGGACUGUAACUAACGCUGAGGCACGAAAGCGUGGGGAGCAAACAG
rnacentral:rRNA from 1 species